rnacentral:rRNA from 1 species
GAAAGAUGAAAAGAACUUUGAAAAGAGAGUUAAACAGUACGUGAAAUUGUUGAAAGGGAAACGAUUGAAGUCAGUCAUACCAACGGGAAAUCAACCUUUUGAGCUCGGUCUCGUGGGUUUUGAAGAGUUUCAAAGCCUUCGGAUUCGCGGGAUUGGGAUCUCUUGGUGUACUUUUUCGUACGGUUAGUCAACAUCGGUUUUGAAUGUCAUAAAAUGACUGGAGGAAUGUAGCUUCGAUCUCGUAUUGAAGUGUUAUA